rnacentral:rRNA from 1 species
AUGAACGCUAGCUACAGGCUUAACACAUGCAAGUCGAGGGGCAGCAUGGUCUUAGCUUGCUAAGGCCGAUGGCGACCGGCGCACGGGUGAGUAACACGUAUCCAACCUGCCGUCUACUCUUGGACAGCCUUCUGAAAGGAAGAUUAAUACAAGAUGGCAUCAUGAGUCCGCAUGUUCACAUGAUUAAAGGUAUUCCGGUAGACGAUGGGGAUGCGUUCCAUUAGAUAGUAGGCGGGGUAACGGCCCACCUAGUCUUCGAUGGAUAGGGGUUCUGAGAGGAAGGUCCCCCACAUUGGAACUGAGACACGGUCCAAACUCCUACGGGAGGCAGCAGUGAGGAAUAUUGGUCAAUGGGCGAGAGCCUGAACCAGCCAAGUAGCGUGAAGGAUGACUGCCCUAUGGGUUGUAAACUUCUUUUAUAAAGGAAUAAAGUCGGGUAUGGAUACCCGUUUGCAUGUACUUUAUGAAUAAGGAUCGGCUAACUCCGUGCCAGCAGCCGCGGUAAUACGGAGGAUCCGAGCGUUAUCCGGAUUUAUUGGGUUUAAAGGGAGCGUAGAUGGAUGUUUAAGUCAGUUGUGAAAGUUUGCGGCUCAACCGUAAAAUUGCAGUUGAUACUGGAUAUCUUGAGUGCAGUUGAGGCAGGCGGAAUUCGUGGUGUAGCGGUGAAAUGCUUAGAUAUCACGAAGAACUCCGAUUGCGAAGGCAGCCUGCUAAGCUGCAACUGACAUUGAGGCUCGAAAGUGUGGGUAUCAAACAGGAUUAGAUACCCUGGUAGUCCACACGGUAAACGAUGAAUACUCGCUGUUUGCGAUAUACUGCAAGCGGCCAAGCGAAAGCGUUAAGUAUUCCACCUGGGGAGUACGCCGGCAACGGUGAAACUCAAAGGAAUUGACGGGGGCCCGCACAAGCGGAGGAACAUGUGGUUUAAUUCGAUGAUACGCGAGGAACCUUACCCGGGCUUAAAUUGCAGAUGAAUUACGGUGAAAGCCGUAAGCCGCAAGGCAUCUGUGAAGGUGCUGCAUGGUUGUCGUCAGCUCGUGCCGUGAGGUGUCGGCUUAAGUGCCAUAACGAGCGCAACCCUUGUUGUCAGUUACUAACAGGUUCCGCUGAGGACUCUGACAAGACUGCCAUCGUAAGAUGUGAGGAAGGUGGGGAUGACGUCAAAUCAGCACGGCCCUUACGUCCGGGGCUACACACGUGUUACAAUGGGGGGUACAGAAGGCAGCUACACGGCGACGUGAUGCUAAUCCCGAAAGCCUCUCUCAGUUCGGAUUGGAGUCUGCAACCCGACUCCAUGAAGCUGGAUUCGCUAGUAAUCGCGCAUCAGCCACGGCGCGGUGAAUACGUUCCCGGGCCUUGUACACACCGCCCGUCAAGCCAUGGGAGCCGGGGGUACCUGAAGUACGUAACCGCAAGGAUCGUCCUAGGGUAAAACUGGUGACUGGGGCU